AAUAGAUACCCGGGUAGUCCACGCCGCAAACGAUGAGAACUAGAUGUUGGUUGGGGAACCAAUCAGUAUCGAAGCUAACGCGAUAAGUUCUCCGCCUGGGAAGUACGGCCGCAAGGUUGAAACUCAAAUGAAUUGACGGGGGCCCGCACAAGCGGUGGAGCAUGUGGUUUAAUUCGAUGCAACGCGAAGAACCUUACCUACCCUUGACAUCCUGCGAAUUCUGAAGAGAUUUGGAAGUGCCGAAAGGAGCGCAGAGACAGGUGCUGCAUGGCUGUCGUCAGCUCGUGUUGUGAGAUGUUGGGUUAAGUCCCGUAACGAGCGCAACCCUUGUCCUUAGUUACCAGCAAGUAAAGUUGGGGACUCUAAGGAGACUGCCGGUGAUGAACCGGAGGAAGGCGGGGACGACGUCAAGUCAUCAUGGCCUUUAUGGGUAGGGCUACACACGUGCUACAAUGGGGCGUACAGAGGGUCGCCAACCCGCGAGGGGGAGCCAAUCUCUUAAAGCGUCUCGUAGUCCGGAUUGGAGUCUGCAACUCGACU
rnacentral:rRNA from 1 species